AUUGAACGCUGGCGGCGUGCUUAACACAUGCAAGUCGAUCGGUAACGCGGGGGCAACCCUGGCGACGAGAGGCGGACGGGUGAGGAACGCUUGGGAAUCGGCCGAUCAGGGGGGGACAACGCGGGCAAACUCGGACUCAUACAGAAUACGCUCUACGGAGGAAGACCGGGGACGGCAAGCCCUGGCACUGUGGGAUGAGUCUAAGUCGGAUUAGCGAGAUGGCGGGGUAACGGCCCACCAAGGCGUCGAUCCGUAGCUGGUCUGAGAGGUCGAUCAGCCACACUGGGACUGAGACACGGCCCAGACUCCUACGGGAGGAAGCAGUGGGGAAUAUUGGACAAUGGGGGCAACCCUGAUCCAGCGACGCCGCGUGGGUGAAGAAGGCCUUCGGGUUGUAAAGCUCUUUCGAUGGGGACGAAAGCUUCCGGCCUAACACGUCGGGUGUCUGACUUAACCCAUAUAAGAAGCACCGGCUAACUCUGUGCCAGCAGCCGCCGUAAAAC
rnacentral:rRNA from 1 species